rnacentral:rRNA from 1 species
GACGAACGCUGGCGGCGUGCUUAACACAUGCAAGUCGAACGGUGAGGCGCCUUCCUUUUUGGUGGGUGGGGAGGAGUGGCGAACGGGUGAGUAACACGUGAGUAACCUGCCCCCUUCGUCUGGAUAACCGCAUGAAAGUGUGGCUAAUACGGGAGAUUCUGGGGCUGUCGCAUGAUGGGUCUGUUUAAGAUAUUGUGUCUGGGGGGGAUGGGCUCGCGGCCUAUCAGCGUGUUGGGGUGGUGAUGGCCUAGGAAGGGGGUGACGGGUAGCCGGCUUGAGAGGGUGGACGGUCUCAGUGGGUAAGCGGCACGGUUGAGACUGCGAUGGGAGCCAGCAGUGGGGAAUAGGGAACAAUGGGGAAUAGUGUGAUGCAGGGAGGAGGCGUGAGCGAUGGAGGCCUUUGGGUUGUGAAGCUCUUUCGCUAGUGAAGCAGGCCUGCCUGGUUUGUAGGUGGGUUGACGGUAGCUGGAUAAGAAGCGCCGGCUAACUACGUG